ensembl:lncRNA
CUUCCGCCUGCCUCUUUUCUGUAGAAAAACUUUAGCCUCUUAGGCCUUCCCCAAGUUCCAAUAAAAAAUAAAUUUAAUCAGAGAGGUAAGAAAAUGCAGAAAUAAAGCAUAACAGCCAAGCAAGACGAAACAAUAAUACUUUAGCCGUUAAACAAAGUCAAGACCCUUUAGUUCCUCCUCAAGGGCUAUAGAUAAUAUCCUAAGCCAUGUCCUUUGAGCUGUUUGACAGAUACUAAAACCCCCACCAGGUGGAAUAAGUUAACUGUGUGCCGCCCACAAGCAUGUAGACCCCGGACCAAUUGGAACCAGCAGGUUGGUGAUGUUGACUCCCAGUUACAUCACCACCAGCCAAUCAGAAGGAGAUCCAUGAGCUGAUUAUGCAUCCUUCAAUCUCCCCUCCCUCACUCUGUCCUUAAAAGUUUUUCCUGGACCCAUCAGGGAAUUGGGUCUUUGGAACUCUAGCUGCCUGGACUCAUUGCCUGGUGUCCUGCAAUGAAUGGUGCACUUUUCUUGAUCACAAGAAAGUGGAUUAGCUGUGCACAAGUGAACGAAUCCAAGUUUGCUUCAGUAAGAAUAAUAGAAGUAUUUUUAUGAUAUUUUAAUUUCAUUAUUUACAAAUGUAUGUGCUGUACAUCCUGCUAUAAAAUGUGUUUCCCUCUGUAGGUCAGAGGCAAAAACUUCUGAAGGCAAGUGCUCUAACUUGAGAAAGUUGGGGAGGCUGUGGUUCCGGCCAGGGCGAUGAGUAUGGAUGAAGUGGAAUAGUAUGCUGGCUUGACCAGUGCUUCUCAAUCAGGUCACGUCUUCCCAGGACCGAGAACGGACAGUGCCUUCAUCCUAUCGAGCAAGUCGGAGCUCCCCAGAGCUGCUCGGGCAGCUGGGCUCACACGCUUCCAAACAGUUCAGACAGUUACUAGAGCAGUGGGAGGAGAUUCUGCCAGCUGCUCCCACGUGCCUGCGCCUUCUGCUGUGCUAGAGAAAAAGCCAGAUGAACCCAGAGUUUACAAGCCCUGGAUCAACAUAGACUAUUCAGAAUGAAGCGCCAUAGUCCUGGGUUCUGACGCCCCCUGGUGGACACUUUGAGUUGAAGUUGGUAACCGACAAACGGACUAAGGUACUCUUUUACUUAUAAUUUAACUUUUAAUAUAAUUUUUAAAGGUUACUUUUCACUUAAAAUUAAAUUACAAAAUAUUGGCUGUAUUCCCCAUGUUGUACAAUACAUCCUUGAGCCUGUCUUUACACCCAAUACUUGCUACCUCCCACUCCACCACCCCUAUAUUGCCCCCCCAUAACAACUACUUUGUUCUUUGUAUCUGAGUCUGCUUUUUUGUUUUAUUCACGUUUGUUGUUUUUAUUUUAGAUUCCACAUAUAAACAAUAUCAUACAGUAUUUCUCUUUUAAUUAAUUUAUUUUAAUUGGAGGAUAAUUACAAUAUUGUGAUGGCU